rnacentral:rRNA from 1 species
AACGGGAUCCUUUCGAAUUUAUUCUUAAGGUGAGAGUGGCGAACGGGUGAGUAACACGUUGGUGACCUACCCCAGAGAGGGGGAUAACCAUUGGAAACGAUGGCUAAUACCCCGGAUGUCCUUACUGUUAGAGGGUAAUGACUAAAAGCUCCGGCGCUCUGGGAGGGGCCUGCGGCCCAUCAGCUAGUUGGUAAGGUAAUGGCUUACCAAGGCAAAGACGGGUAGGGGGCGUGAGAGCGUGACCCCCCACACUGGUACUGACACACGGACCAGAUACCUACGGGUAGCAGCAGCAAGGAAUAUUGCCCAAUGGACGAAAGUCUGAGGCAGCAACGCCGCGUGGAGGAUGAAGGCCUUCGGGUUGUAAACUCCUUUUCUGGGGGAAGAGAUAGGACGGUACCCCAGGAAUAAGUCUCGGCUAACUACGUGCCAGCAGCCGCGGUAAAACGUAGGAGGCGAGCGUUAUCCGGAUUUACUGGGCGUAAAGAGCGCGUAGCGGUUUUCUAAGUCGGACGUGAAAGCUCCCGGCUCAACUGGGAGAGGUCGUUCGAAACUAGGAAACUUGAGGGUGGUAGAGGAGAGUGGAAUUCCCGGUGUAGUGGUGAAAUGCGUAGAUAUCGGGAGGAACACCAGUGGCGAAGGCGGCUCUCUGGGCCAUCCCUGACGCUAAGGCGCGAAAGCUAGGGGAGAGAACGGGAUUAGAAACCCCGGUAUUCCUAGCCGUAAACGAUGUCAACUAGGUGUAGGGG